rnacentral:rRNA from 1 species
AUUGAACGCUGGCGGCAGGCCUAACACAUGCGAGUCGAGCGGAUGAAGGGAGCUUGCUCCUGGAUUCAGCGGCGGACGGGUGAGUAAUGCCUAGGAAUCUGCCUGGUAGUGGGGGAUAACGCCCGGAAACGGGCGCUAAUACCGCAUACGUCCUGAGGGAGAAAGUGGGGGAUCUUCGGACCUCACGCUAUCAGAUGAGCCUAGGUCGGAUUAGCUAGUUGGUGGGGUAAAGGCCUACCAAGGCGACGAUCCGUAACUGGUCUGAGAGGAUGAUCAGUCACACUGGAACUGAGACACGGUCCAGACUCCUACGGGAGGCAGCAGUGGGGAAUAUUGGACAAUGGGCGAAAGCCUGAUCCAGCCAUGCCGCGUGUGUGAAGAAGGUCUUCGGAUUGUAAAGCACUUUAAGUUGGGAGGAAGGGCAGUAAGUUAAUACCUUGCUGUUUUGACGUUACCAACAGAAUAAGCACCGGCUAACUUCGUG